CCCUGCCCUUUGUACACACCGCCCGUCGCACCUACCGAUUGAAUGGUCCGGUGAAAUCUUCGGACCGAGCGACGCCCAGAAAUGGGCGAUGUUCGGGAAGUUGCUUAAACCUUACCAUUUAGAGGAAGGUGAAG
rnacentral:rRNA from 1 species